CGAGGGUAACAUUGUGCUUGCACAGAUGACGACCGGCGCACGGGUGCGUAACGCGUAUAGAACCUACCUUUUACAGAGGGAUAGCCUUUAGAAAUGAAGAUUAAUACCUUAUAGUAUUGAGACUUGGCAUCAAGUUUUAAUUAAAGAUUUAUCGGUAAAAGAUGGCUAUGCGUCCUAUUAGUUAGUUGGUAAGGUAACGGCUUACCAAGACAGCGAUAGGUAGGGGCCCUGAGAGGGGGAUCCCCCACACUGGUACUGAGACACGGACCAGACUCCUACGGGAGGCAGCAGUGAGGAAUAUUGGGCAAUGGAGGCAACUCUGACCCAGCCAUGCCGCGUGCAGGAAGACGGCCCUAUGGGUUGUAAACUGCUUUUAUACAGGAAGAAACACUCGUACGUGUACGAGCUUGACGGUACUGUAAGAAUAAGGACCGGCUAACUCCGUGCCAGCAGCCGCGGUAAUACGGAGGGUCCGAGCGUUAUCCGGAAUCAUUGGGUUUAAAGGGUCCGCAGGCGGUCAAUUAAGUCAGAGGUGAAAUACCAUAGCUCAACUAUGGAACUGCCUUUGAUACUGGUUGACUUGAGUCAUAUGGAAGUAGAUAGAAUGUGUAGUGUAGCGGUGAAAUGCAUAGAGAUUACACAGAAUACCGAUUGCGAAGGCAGCCUACCUACGUAUGUACUGACGCUGAGGGACGAAAGCGUGGGGAGCGAACAGGAUUAGACACCCUGGUAGUCCACGCCGUAAACGAUGGAUACUAGUUGUUGGGCAUUAGCUCAGUGACUAAGCGAAAGUGAUAAGU
rnacentral:rRNA from 1 species